rnacentral:lncRNA from 8 species
AUGCACAGACUGACGUCAUACGUAGGUAACGCCACAAUCUUCAGGAUCUCGCGAUAUUGGAUUGCAGCUACAUGUGACAUCCUCUCUAGCAUCUCACAUCCAUCGCAGCAUUACCCCAUCAGAUCAGACGGGAUAACUUCAUUAGGCCUCCGCUCACCAACAGGAAGACACAAUAAAGAACAAAAUAGCAAUAAUGCCUCUUCAAAACUGUUGACCUGUGUGCCUUUUCUAAUACUUCUGGGACCCACUGAAUGGAAAUCCAUCCUUGAGACUUUCUCCUAUAGGAUACAGUAUGUACUUCAUUUAAACAUAACAGUGGCUCACCUCUACGCAGACGACACCAUUCUGUAUACUUCUGGCCCUUCUUUGGACACUGUGUUAACAAACCUCCAGACGAGCUUCAAUGCCAUUCAACACUCCUUCCGUGGCCUCCAACUGCUCUUAAAUGCAAGCAAAACUAAAUGCAUGCUUGUCACGUCCUGACCAGUAAAGAGGUUAUUUUGUUAUUAUAGUAUGGUCAGGGCGUGGCAGGGGGGUGUUUGUUUUGUGUGUUUUGGGAUUUUGGGUUUGAUCUAUAUUAUCUAUUUCUAUGUUUUCCUUUAUAGUUUUUCUAUUUCUAUGUUGUGUAUGUUUGGGUUGAUCUCUAAUUGAAGGCAGCAGAUCCUCGUUGCCUCUGAUUAGAGAUCAUAUUUAAGUAGGGGUUUUUCUUCAUGGGUUUUGUGGGUAGUUGUUUCCGUGUAUAGUCUGAGCACCUUACAGGACUGUUUUCGUCGUUUGUUUUGUAUGAGGAUUUUUUUCCUUUCUUUAAUAAAUAAGAAGAUGAGCAAUUUAACCGCUGCAUAUUGGUCCGAUGAUUUCUCCUCCUCAGAUGACUUUGUUUGUGACAAUGCUCUUCAACCGAUCGCUGCCCGCACCCGCCCACCUGUCUAGCAUCACUACUCUGGACAGUUCUGACUUAGAAUAUGUGGACAACUACAAAUACCUAGGUGUCUGGUUAGACUGUAAACUCUCCUUCCAGACUCACAUUAAGCAUCUCGAAUCCAAAAUUAAAUCUAGAAUCGGCUUCCUAUUUCACAACAAAGCCUCCUUCACUCAUGCUGCCAAAC